rfam:Corchorus capsularis cultivar CVL-1 contig16271, whole genome shotgun sequence.
ACUCCAUGGUGUGGACAUUUUCGUUGUAGAUCCUUGAAUCUUUCCCAGGCAUCAUGAAGCAUUUCGUUGUCACGUUGCUUGAAGCUAGUAAUAUCGGUUCUGAACUU